rnacentral:rRNA from 1 species
GAUGAACGCUGGCGGCGUGCCUAAUACAUGCAAGUCGAGCGAACAGACGAGUAGCUUGCUCCUCUGACGUUAGCGGCGGACGGGUGAGUAACACGUGGAUAACCUACCUAUAAUACUGGGAUAACUUCGGGAAACCGGAGCUAAUACCGGAUAAUAUAUUGAACCGCAUGGUUCAAUAGUGAAAGACGGUUUUGCUGUCACUUAUAGAUGGAUCCGCGCCGCAUUAGCUAGUUGGUAAGGUAACGGCUUACCAAGGCGACGAUGCGUAGCCGACCUGAGAGGGUGAUCGGCCACACUGGAACUGAGACACGGUCCAGACUCCUACGGGAGGCAGCAGUAGGGAAUCUUCCGCAAUGGGCGAAAGCCUGACGGAGCAACGCCGCGUGAGUGAUGAAGGUCUUCGGAUCGUAAAACUCUGUUAUUAGGGAAGAACAAAUGUGUAAGUAACUAUGCACGUCUUGACGGUACCUAAUCAGAAAGCCACGGCUAACUACGUG